CGUAGGGUGCGAGCGUUGUCCGGAUUUAUUGGGCGUAAAGAGCUCGUAGGCGGUUUGUCGCGUCGGCCGUGAAAUCUCCACGCUUAACGUGGAGCGUGCGGUCGAUACGGGCAGACUUGAGUUCGGUAGGGGAGACUGGAAUUCCUGGUGUAGCGGUGAAAUGCGCAGAUAUCAGGAGGAACACCGGUGGCGAAGGCGGGUCUCUGGGCCGAUACUGACGCUGAGGAGCGAAAGCGUGGGGGAGCGAACAGGAUUAGAUACCCUGGUAGUCCACGCUGUAAACGUUGGGCGCUAGGUGUGGGCGACAUCCACGUUGUCCGUGCCGUAGCUAACGCAUUAAGCGCCCCGCCUGGGGAUACGGCCGCAAGGCUA
rnacentral:rRNA from 1 species